CAAUAGCGUAUAUUAAAGUUGCUGCAGUUAAAAGCUCGUAGUUGGAUCUCGGGUGCAGGCUUGCGGUCCGCCUCGCGGCGGUCACUGCUCGCCCUGACCUCCAGGCCGGUGUCACCGUCCCUUGGUGCUCUUGAUUGAGUGUCUCGGGCGGCCGGUACGUUUACUUUGAAGAAAUUAGAGUGCUCAAAGCAGGCCCUUGCCGCCUGAAUAAUGGUGCAUGGAAUAAUGGAAUAGGACCUCGGUUCUAUUUUGUUGGCUCUCGGAGCUCGAGGUAAUGAUUAAUAGGGACUGACGGGGCAUUGCGUAUUGCGGCGCUAGAGGUGAAAUUCUUGGACCGUCGCAAGACGAACUACAGCGAAAGCAUUUGCCAAGCAUGUUUUCAUUAAUCAAGAACGAAAGUCAGAGGUUCGAAGACGAUCAGAUACC
rnacentral:rRNA from 1 species